rnacentral:rRNA from 1 species
GCGACCCCAGGUCAGGCGGGGGUACCUGUGGAGUUUAAGCACAUCAAUAAGUGGAGGAAAAGAAACUGACAGGGAUUUGCCUCGUAACGGCCAGCGAACUGGGAAGAGCUUAGCUUUAAAAUCGGGCAGCCUCGCCGUCUGAAUUGUAUUAUGGAGAAGCGUCCUCUGCGGCGGACCGAGCCCAACUCCCCUGGAAAGGGACGCUAGAGAGGGUGAGAGCCCCGUCGUGCCCAGACAUUGUCGCACCACGAGGCGCUAUCGCCGAGUCGGGUUGUUUGGGAAUGCAGCCCCAAUUGGGUGGUAAAUUCUAUUUAAGGCUAAAUACGGGCGAGAGAUCGAUAGCGAACAAGUACUGCGACGGAAAGAUGAAAAGGACUUUGAAAAGAGAGUCAAAAAGUACUUGAAAUUAUUGGGAGGGAUGCAGAUGGGGGCCGACGAUGCGCCCUAGUCGGAUAUGGAACGACCACAAGUCGGUCCGCUGAUCGGCUCGGGGCACGGACUGGCGCAAAUUGGGAGGGCGGCAGAACCCCGGUUCCUGGGAGCAUCGUCCUCAUGAUUAUAGAAGGUAGCGAGGUCGUCACGGCAUGCCCCGGGACCUGCGCGCUCUAGGCGUCAGCCUGCGGGCCCGCCAUUCAGCCCGUCUUGAAACACUGACCAAGGAGUCUGACAUGUGUAUGAGUCAACGGGCAGCACAAGGAAGCUAAUUGGUGGGAUCCCCUUAUAGGGGCACCGUUGACUGACCUUGAUCUUCUGAGAAGGGUUCGAGUGAGAGCAAACCUAUCGGGACCCGAAAGAUGGUGAAACAUGCCUAAGUGGGGCGAAGCCAGAGGGAACUCUGGUGGAGGCUUGAAGCGAUACUGACGUGUAAAUCAUUCGUCUAACUUAGUUAUAGGGGUGAAAGACUAAUCGAAUCAUCUAGUGGCUGGUUCCCUCCGAAGUUUCCCUCAGGAUAGCUGGAGCUCAUACGUGAGUUCUAUCAAGUAAAGCCAAUGAUUAGAGUCAUUAGGGGUGUAAUGCCCUCGACCUAUUCUUAAACUUUAAAUAGGUAGGAUGGCAUGGAUGCUUUGUUGAGCCGCGCCACAGAAUCGAGAGCUCCAAGUGGGCCAUUUUUGGUAAGGAGAACUGGUGAUGCAGGAUGAAUCGAAAGCCAAGUUACAGUGCCCAUCUACGCGCUAACCCAGAUCCCACAAAAGGUGUUAGUCGAUUAAGACAGCAGGACGAUGGUCAUGGAUGUCGAAAUCCACUAAGGAGUGUGUAGCAACUUACCUACUGAAUCAACUAGCCCCAAAAAUGGAUGGCGCUAAAGCGCACGACCUAUACCUGACCGUCGGUGCAAGUGCCAAGCCUCAAUGAGGAGGAGGGCGCGGUGGUCGCUGCAAAACCUGUGGUGCGAGCCAGGUCAUCGCGGCCGUCGGGGCAGAUCUUGGUGGCAGUAGCAAAUAUUCAAAGGAGAACUCUGAAGGCCGAAGAGGGGAAAGGUUCCAUGUGAAUGGCGCUUGCACAUGGGUUAGUCGAUCCUAAGAGACGGGAGAAGCCCGUCCGACAAUACGUUUCGCACGAGCUUUGAAAGGGAGUCGGGUUAAGAUUCCCGAACCGGGACGUGACGGUUGACGGCAACGUUAACGAGUCCGGAGACGUUGACGGGGGCCUCGGGAAGAGUUAUCUUUUCUGUUUAACAGCCUUUCCACCCUAGAAACGACUCAAUCGGAGGUAGGGUUUAGCGGCUAGAAGAGCACCGCACGUCGCGUGGUGUCCGGUGCGCCCCCAGCGGCCCUUGAAAAUCUAGAGGAACGAGUGUUGACUGUGCCUGGUCGUACUCAUAACUGUAUCAGGUCUCCAAGGUGAACAGCCUCUGAUCGAUGGAAUAAUGUAGGCAAGGAAAGUCGGCAAAAUGGAUCCGUAACUUCAGGAAAAGGAUUGGCUCUAAGGGCUGGGCAUGGAGGUCCAAGUCCUGAACCCAUUGGCUGUCGCCGGAAUGCUCGAGUUGCUCGUGCGGGUCGUCACGUGCCUACCGGGGGAUAGACUGGGAAUGGCCCCUUCGGAGGCCUUCCCCGAGCGUCGAACAGUCAACUCAGAAAUGGCAGCCAAAUGCGACUAUUUAAUUAAAACAAAGCAUUGCGAUGGUCCCUGCGGAUGUUAACGCAAUGUGAUUUCUGCCCAGUGCUCUGAAUGUCAAAGUGAAGAAAUUCAACCAAGCGUGGGUAAACGGCAGGAGUAACUAAGACUCUCUUAAGGUACCUAAAUGCCCCGUUUUCUAAUUUGUGAUGCACAUGAAUGAAUUAACGAGGUUGCCACUGUCUCUGUCUACUAUCUAGCGAAACCACAACCAAUGGAAUGGGCCUGGCAGAAUCAACGGGGAAAGAAGACCUUGUUGAGCUUGACUCUAGUCCGACUUUGUGAAAUGACUUGAGAGGUGUAGUAUAAAUGAGAGCUUCGGCGCAAGUGAAAUACCACUACUUUUGUUAUUUAAUGUACUCCGUGACUUGGAGGCGGGGCAUUGCCCCUCUUUUUGAACCUAAGGCUCGCUUCACGGGCCGAUCACGGUGGAGGACAUUGUAAGGUAGGGAGUUUGGCUAGGGUAGCACAUGUGUUAAAAGAUAACGCAAAUGUCCAAAGAUGAGCUCAAUGAGAACAGAAAUCUCAUGUGGAACAGAAGGGUAAAAGCUCAUUUGAUUAUGCUUUUCAGUACGAAUACGAACCGUGAAAGCGUGGCCUGACGAUCCUUUAGACCUUCAAAAUUUGAAGCUAGAGGUGUCAAAAAAGUUGCCACAGGGAUAAUUGGCUUGUGGCAGCCAAGUUUUCAUAGCGACAUUGCUUUUUGAUCCUUCGAUGUCGACUCUUCCUAUCAUUGUCUAGCAGAAUUUACCAAGUGUUGGAUUGUUCAGCCACCAAUAAGGAACAUGGGCUGGGUUUAGACCAUCGUGAGAUAGGUUAGUUUUACCCUACUAAUGACAGUGUCGUGACGGUAAUUCAACCUAGUAUGAGUGGAACCGUUGAUUUCGCACAAUUGGUCAUCGCACUUGGUUGAAAAGCCAGUGGCGCGAAGCUACCAUGCGUUGGAUUAUGACUGAACGCCUCUAAGUCAGAAUCCAGGCCAGAAGCGACGCCUGCACCCACCGCCCGAUUGCCGACCUGCAGUAGGGGCCUCAGCCCCCAAGGGCACAUGUUGUAGGCUAAACCAGCGCGACGGAUACGCCACAAGGGCCGCCUGAAGUACAAUUCCUAUUGAGCGGCAAGUUAAAUCCUUUGCAGAUGACUUAAAUACGCGACGGGGAAUCGUAAGUGGCAGGGUG